rnacentral:other from 1 species
UUGUCCCUGCGCUGCUCGUGAUGCCGGGGGGAAGUUUCAACCUCGUUUCCAAUUCGGGAGCUGUGGACGAGGGUCGUGUGCAAGCCCCUCUUGAAGGGGAAGCCUAAAGCCCUCUAAUUAACGGCGCCCACCUGGUACAUACCAGGUUCGAAACACCGUCGGCACACGGCAGAGGCGGGGAUUUG